UGCAAGUCGAGGGGUAACGAUGUCUUCGGACAGGCGACGACCGGCGCACGGGUGAGUACCGCGUUUGUAACCUACCUUUAACUGGAGAAUAGCCCGAAGAAAUUCGGAUUAAUACUCCAUAAUACUAUGAUCUGGCAUCUUUUUAUAGUUAAAGCUCCGGCGGUUAAAGAUGGGCAUGCGUAACAUUAGUUUGUUGGUGAGGUAACGGCUCACCAAGACUACGAUGUUUAGGGGGUCUGAGAGGAUGGUCCCCCACACUGGUACUGAGACACGGACCAGACUCCUACGGGAGGCAGCAGUGAGGAAUAUUGGUCAAUGGGCGCAAGCCUGAACCAGCCAUGCCGCGUGAAGGAUGACAGCGCUAUGCGUUGUAAACUUCUUUUGUACAGGAAGAAACACUUCUACGUGUAGAAGCUUGACGGUACUGUACGAAUAAGCAUCGGCUAACUCCGUGCCAGCAGCCGCGGUAAUACGGAGGAUGCAAGCGUUAUCCGGAUUUAUUGGGUUUAAAGGGUACGUAGGCGGAAAAUUAAGUCAGUAGUGAAAUCCUGCAGCUUAACUGUAGAACUGUUAUUGAUACUGGUUUUCUUGAAUAUAGUUGAGGUAGGCGGAAUGUGUAAUGUAGCGGUGAAAUGCUUAGAUAUUACACAGAACACCGAUUGCGAAGGCAGCUUACUAAGCUAUGAUUGACGCUGAGGUAC
rnacentral:rRNA from 1 species